rnacentral:rRNA from 1 species
AACGAACGCUGGCGGCGUGCUUAACACAUGCAAGUCGAACGAGAAAGGGCUUCGGCCCGAGUAAAGUGGCGCACGGGUGAGUAACGCGUGGGUAAUCUGCCCUUGGGUGGGGGAUAACGUUUCGAAAGAGACGCUAAUACCGCAUGAGACCACUUGCCUUUGGGUGAGUGGGAAAAGAUGGGGAUCUUCGGACCUGUCGCCUGGGGAUGAGCCCGCGUACCAUUAGAUAGUUGGUGGGGUAAAAGCCUACCAAGUCAGAGAUGGUUAGCUGGUCUGAGAGGAUGAUCAGCCACACUGGGACUGAGACACGGCCCAG